ensembl:lncRNA
CAGGGAGUGUAAGUGAAUGUUAAGUCAUGCUGAGAUCAUGCCACCCUGAGGACACUGGAAAUCAGUCAGGAGUUUUAAAAAUAAUCUAAAAGCUCGUGGGCAAAGUAAACCUUCAGAAAGGCCCUACCUAACUGUUGUUAUGGCUGCUUCAGUUGUCAGAGAAAGUCAGGGCCCCACGUGCACCAGGAGGCUCUGCAGGCCCUGACCUCACUGGGCUGGAGCAGCUCAGUUUCACCUCACCACAUGCUCUCAGCUGUCUGUAGGAGCACUUGUCUCCAGACCAGCCUGGCCCACCGUCUGAUGGAUAUGCUGGUCUCCUGCAGGUGCUGCCAGGGAUCUAAGUUGUGACGUGGCUCCACAUCUGUGUGCUGAAUGGACUUUAAGUGAUUCCUAUUUUGAUUGUUAAUGCCAUCAUGCAGUUUUCAGAAGGCAACCAGAGAGUUGGCCAGCUGUUCAAGAUUGGCCAGGCUUCUAUCUCUGCCAAAGUGACUGCACGUUGCCUAUGCUGAAUUUCCAAAGGAGAAAGCUUAGUAUCAACCAACCACUCCAGCUGUGGUGCUUUCCAGACGAAGUGGCUAUGCCUUGAGACUGCAGCCUUCUUCACCUGCACAUUUCUCCAGUCUUGCCCCUCCCAGGCAUCAUUUUCAAGUUGAACUAAAAUUGGAUUUAGUUCUAGAAGAGUCAGCAAUGUGGACAGAGUAUACAUGGUUUGAGAUUCCCCAUAGGCUUCUGUAUUCUCUCCAGACUGCACUUUCUAGAGCAGUACAUGGUCCCAUUUGAACAAACAAUCUUAGGAGAGUUACUAAUACAGAUGAGCCAUCUAUAGUGACUUAUUUGUAAGAAAUACUUUCUCGAAUAAGUGAUUAGUUAUCUCAUUCUAUUCAGAAGGCAAGCAGCAAAAACCAUCAUGCAAUUACGACGAAGUCAAUGUAUCUAUUGGGAAUAUACUUUAUCUUUUAUUGUUUUUCUAUUUAAAAGUUGGCAUCUCCUCAAAAACCACCUUGUGGUUUUAUUUGUGAAUACAGAAAGACUUUUGUAACUACAUGGAUUCUGUCUGCAAAGAGGCAGAACUGAACAGCAGAAAACUCAGCUCCAGUUGAUACCUUGCCCUCUGAGCCAGUGUCACCCCAAGCUGAAGCAGGUGGGAGCAGAUGUGCAGUAUGCCUGCUGAUGGCCUUAUGCAGGGCACGGCGCCAGAUGGCAAUCCAUCCCUGACAUCUCUGUCCCCACUGCCUUUCUUACUGCUUCACACCAAGCCAGAGGCAUGAAUUCCUGAGGGGUUUGGAG